rnacentral:lncRNA from 1 species
UUCCCUUCUUCAGCCGUGACCUGACAGUGUGAGGAGAAUGUAAAGGAGCUGAGUUGAUGACACUGACCCACUUGUGCCAUAUCUCACAGACUUCCCCAUGACCACAGAGGCAGAAUUUGGAAUGAGCAACUGACAGACCCGAAGGGAGAACCUACAGUUUAUACACUUCUCCCAGCUUAGAGAAAAGGAGUAUGGUGCCAUUACAUGGCAUCUUCACCCAUCGCCAGCCUUUCUACAUCUAGAAGAAGUCCAAUAGCUUUUGGGAAGAUUUUGGAGGAAGGCGGGAGAAGAAGGGAUUCUUCAGAGACUGAAACAGAGAUCUUUCUUUCAGGUAUCAGGUUUCUGUUCUAAUUUUGCUGGUUUUGCUAUGAAGUAAUCAAUAAUUUGCCAAGACUAACCUGAAGAGCAAAACAAGGCACCGUAACUACAAAUACCUUUCUUAGACAUAGGCAUGUCUGAAUUGAAACAUAACCUUUAUCAGUAAAUACUUCGUUUUCAGUUAGGGUUAUUUUCAUACUCAGAAGUGAGAAUAGAAGACAAAUCCAGGAAUUUCUACUAAGUAUGUGCACAGCUGUCACCUUAAAUCCAGAAAGUCACAUAAACUUUCUAUAAAUAAAUAAAUAAAUAAAUAAAACA